AUGUCUUCUCACAAGACUUUCAGGAUCAAGCAAUUCCUGCCCAAGAAACAAAAGCAGAAUCAACCCACUCCCCAGUGGAUUUGGAUAAAAAUUGGUAAUAAAAUCAGGUACAACUCCAAGAGGAGGCACUGGAGAAGAACACAGCUGUGUCUAUAA